UACGGGGGGGGCAAGCGUUGUUCGGAAUUACUGGGCGUAAAGGGCUCGUAGGCGGCCAACUAAGUCAGACGUGAAAUCCCUCGGCUUAACCGGGGAACUGCGUCUGAUACUGGAUGGCUUGAGAUUGGGAGAGGGAUGCGGAAUUCCAGGUGUAGCGGUGAAAUGCGCAGAUAUCAGGAGGAACACCAAUGGCGAAGGCAGCUCGCUGGGACGGUACUGACACUGAGACGCGAAAGCGUGGGGAGCAAACAGG
rnacentral:rRNA from 1 species